rnacentral:lncRNA from 1 species
GUUUUUUGCCCAAGCAGUAGGAUGCAACCCACUGUCUCUAAAACACCUGUAUCUGCAGAGCUGGCUUUCAGGACACUCAAUUAGAAUAGAAAGAGAUAUCAGAGACCACCCAAUUCAUAUGUUCUAACAAUCAGCAAAAGAAACCAUACAAGGCUAGAAGAAUAGCAGUACUAAGUGCUCACACAUGUUGGGGUGCUGAACAGUAAAGGAGGAAUUGCAGUCCCUUGCAGGGGAGAAGAGGCUUCUCAUCUUUACCUCGCAACACGUCCAGAAGUGGUUACAUUCCCUGGAUCUUCAGUGGGAAAUUGGACACUAAAACAUCAAGGCAGAAAGAAAAAAAAUAUCUAGAAAUACAUAGCAAGUGUGAUGCUAUGUCUGAUUCAGGGAAGAUAAUCUCCAAAUCAGGUGUCAUUAGAAUAUUCAAGAUC